GACGAACGCUGGCGGCGUGCUUAACACAUGCAAGUCGAACGGAAAGGCCCUGCUUUUGUGGGGUGCUCGAGUGGCGAACGGGUGAGUAACACGUGAGUAACCUGCCCUUGACUUUGGGAUAACUUCAGGAAACUGGGGCUAAUACCGGAUAGGAGCUCCUGCUGCAUGGUGGGGGUUGGAAAGUUUCGGCGGUUGGGGAUGGACUCGCGGCUUAUCAGCUUGUUGGUGGGGUAGUGGCUUACCAAGGCUUUGACGGGUAGCCGGCCUGAGAGGGUGACCGGCCACAUUGGGACUGAGAUACGGCACAGACUCCUACGGGAGGCAGCAGUGGGGAAUAUUGCACAAUGGGCGGAAGACUGAUGCAGCAACGCCGCGUGCGGGAUGAAGGCCUUCGGGUUGUAAACCGCUUUCGCCUGUGACGAAGCGUGAGUGACGGUAAUGGGUAAAGAAGCACCGGCUAACUACGUG
rnacentral:rRNA from 1 species